AUGAGUCUUCACUUAAAGGGCGCUAGAGUUAUGCUCUUUGGCGUUGCCCGAGGAUGGGGCCGCGACCGAUCAGGUUGUUGGUGAGGUAAUGGCUCACCAAGCCUUUUACCGGUGCGGGCCGUGGGAGCGGGAGCCCGGAGAUGGGCACUGAGACAAGGGCCCAGGCCCUACGGGGCGCAGCAGUCGCGAAAACUUUGCAAUAAGCGAAAGCUUGACAGGGCUAUCCCGAGUGCCAUCCGCUGAGGAAGGCUUUUACCCAGUCUAGAACGCUGGGGGAAUAAGGAGAGGGCAAGUCUGGUGUCAGCCGCCGCGGUAAUACCAGCUCUCCGAGUGGUGUGGAUGUUUAUUGGGCCUAAAGCAUCCGUAGCUGGCUAGGUUAGUCCCUUGUUAAAUCCACCGAAUUAAUCGUUGGAUUGCGGGGGAUACUGCUUGGCUAGGGGACGAGAGAGGCAGACGGUAUUUCCGGGGUAGGGGUGAAAUCCUAUAAUCCCGGGAAGACCACCAGUGGCGAAGGCUGUCUGCUAGAACGCGCCCGACGGUGAGGGAUGAAAGCUGGGGGAGCGAACCGGAUUAGAUACCCGGGUAGUCCCAGCUGUAAACGAUGCAGACUAGGUGUUUGGACGGCCACGUGCCGUUCUAGUGCCGCAGGGAAGCUGUUA
rnacentral:rRNA from 1 species